AGCGAACGCUGGCGGCAGGCCUAACACAUGCAAGUCGAACGAACCCUUCGGGGUUAGUGGCGGACGGGUGAGUAGCACGUGGGAACGUGCCUUUAGGUUCGGAAUAACUCAGGGAAACUUGUGCUAAUACCGAAUGUGCCCUUCGGGGGAAAGAUUUAUCGCCUUUAGAGCGGCCCGCGUCUGAUUAGCUAGUUGGUGAGGUAAUGGCUCACCAAGGCUACGAUCAGUAGCAGGUCUGAGAGGAUGACCAGCCACAUAGGGACUGAGACACGGCCCAAACUCCUACGGGAGGCAGCAGUGGUGAAUCUUGCGCAAUGGGCGAAAGCCUGACGCAGCCAUGCCGCGUGGAUGAUGAAGGUCUUAGGAUUGUAAAAUCCUUUCACCGGUGAAGAUAAUGACUGUAGCCGGAGAAGAAGCCCCGGCUAACUUCGUGCCAGCCGCCGCCGUAAGAC
rnacentral:rRNA from 1 species